rnacentral:piRNA from 1 species
UAGGAUGAACAAGUAGUUGAUGGAGGU